GAGUCCGUGGCUCAACGGCAGAGCGCCUUGUUCACAUCAAGGAGGUUGAAGGUUCGAUUCCUUCCGGGCUCA
rnacentral:tRNA from 5 species